rnacentral:lncRNA from 1 species
AAAGAUAAAUCAUUUUCAUGAAAUAAAGUUUAGGGCUAACAUCCUCUUCGGACAUCAUUGUUGCCAAACCCUUUAGAUGUUAUUUUACAUCAGCAGUAACAAUUGCCCAAAAAUACAGAUCUUAAUUGCAAAUUUCCCAACCCAAUCUUCCAUAGUACUAUUCAGCCCCGACCACGGACACUGCUUUUUUAUUAUUUUCCCCGAAGUUAAAGGCCUGCGAAAAAAACUUCGUGCGCACGCCCUAUUUAUACAUAUUAGUUAUUCCCUUUAAAAUGUGGGUACCGAUUGUACGCAACCCUAGCAACUUAUUAACAUAAUGUACGUUUAAUUUUGAACGAAAUGCUGAAUGCAAACUUCCGACAACGCUAUUAUGACCGUACGUCGCUGAUCUUGGCUUGCUCUACAGAGUGUUUUCAUGGCGACCAUGUUCAGGAACAAAUCUGGAUCGAAAUUAAUACAUAUUUCUUUUUUUUAAAAAGCGAGUUUGCUCCUUAACAAACCAAACAUAAAAACACUCUAACCCUGGCGGUCUUUUCAUUAAAAGUAAUGCCGUAUUUACACUUACUGUCGUUCCAAUUGAAGUGUUCCUCAAAUAUUGAUUCAAUACAUUACCUCAGGCUGACCAAUUCAUUUCAUCAAGUUCCUCGAGAUAUUCAUACACUUCCUGUGAAAGAGCCAAUUCCAAGAAUUUGAUCAUUUCUGGUCACUUCCUUUCUAUUUAUGAUUGGUAGUUGCACAAACAACAAAGGUGAUUGGUGCAUUCAAACUAUUCAACAGGAAGUUUACAAUUAAGUAGGAAGUGUAUGAAUAUUUCGAGGAACUUGAUGAAAUGAAUUGGUCAGCCCGAGGUAAUGUAUUGAAUCGAUAUUUGAGGAACACUUCAAUUGGAACGACAGUAAUGCGCUUGUAAAUGUCGUAACAACUUGAAUCUAAAGGCAUUUGCCAGAAACGCACAACCCAGAUUCAAAUUGCAAAAUAGCAACGUUUCGUGCGAGUGUAUAUUGCGCAGUUUCGAUGCCUCUAAACUGUCUAUCUCCCUAACUAUUUUGCGCACGCGACGGACCAUAUUAUCCGCAUGCAACCGCCCUGAAAAGGAAUAUCCCUGAAGGUAUUGAGCCGCAAUGACCGCCAUAAGAGAGGGGACCUAGUCACUGGUAGCGGACUGUUUUUUCAUGAAGUAAGACCGGCUACCAGGAAAAUACAUGCUUUACCUUACUACGGGAGAAAAUGUUUAAAAAAACUUUGCCGCCAUAAUUGUCUUAUUCUCGCCGAUCCAAACGACCAACAUGAUUUCCACCAAGUCUUCUUACGGGUACCAUUUGCACCCUCUAAGCUAUGGGUACCAUUUGUACCCCCUAACCCCAAGACCAACGAUGCCAGUUUUUUUUUAAAGGUUUAGAUGAGGGAAGUGACAAAUUCUUUUUUACUAACAAAGCGACGAGAUAUUACAAAGAAUCAAAUAGCAAUUUACAAUCGUCGUUGUAUUUCGAAAGACAAAACUCUGGCAAAGCUUUUCUUGCACACAUCCUGCCUCAUGACCCUGUCUAAACUAUUGUGUUGCUGCGCUUGUAAUGCGUAUGCACCAAGGCAGUAUAUUUACACAGAGGGAAACCAUGCAAUAACCAUACACUCAAAUGUUCCCUCUUUUUUCAGAUCGGUUUUCAAAUUCAGAAGCUGACGAAUUUCGAAAGUACAGUUUUUGCAAAGAAAAUCAUCGUUAUAAACUUUCGUUCAAGCUAUCAAAGUCUACUGAAUAGAAAAUAGAUCGAAUGUGUAAAUAUACUGAACAUUUAGACCGCCAGGAUUUAUGCCGGGUUUCAUUGUACCCAGAACAACAAAACAAACAAUGGAUGGCCUGGAUACAAGUAUCUACAGCCUGUUCGCAGGCAAACAAGAAAGAACAGUACCUGAGAGUGGACAUUUCUGUGACCUUUGUAUGUCCAUUAACUGAAUAUCCAUUACGGGGCCAUAUUUAUCCAUCAUAGUUUCUUUGUAUCCAUUUAUUAUAGUCACAAAUAUCCACUGCUGACCAUGGACAUUUGAUCAAUCCUUUCAUUUCAUCCGAGGCAUCCAAUUUCAUCAUCGUCUUUGUCGUUUGGUACAUUUUCUUUAAAUUCAUAGCCUCGUGGUCAUAACUACUGUCUUUGGUGUAUUGUUGUAAUUUGAUUAGAAAUAGAGGUAUUCCCUCCUGUAUUGCUCUUCAAGGCAUGUCAUCUUGGUAACAUGAUAUUUUAUAAAUCAAUAUUUCAUCAGCAUGUUCAGUAAUGAUCUGUAAAACAAAGCAAAAAAACAAUAAUUAAUUCAGAUAUAAAACUUAAACCAUUUUGCUACAAAACCCCCAAAUUAAACCGUUAGGUUGUACUGUGCCCUGAUGCAUGCUCUACUUGAGUAUUUUACUGUCCAACGCCAGACGAUUUUAUGCUUCAUAAUGAGACUGCCCAAGUGUCUAGUUACCCAUUAACUGCCAGUGCACCCCCUGCUUAAUUUUAUUUGUCAAGCCAGCCAGAUAGUUGAAUUGCUGUUCUCCAAGAUAAAUAGGAUUAACUCCUUAAGCUGCAAAGGAACUCAAAUGUCUGAUAUCAGAUCAUUUCAAAUUCCUAUAAACAUA